rnacentral:rRNA from 1 species
CUAAUACAUGCAAGUCGAGCGAACGGACGAGAAGCUUGCUUCUCUGAUGUUAGCGGCGGACGGGUGAGUAACACGUGGAUAACCUACCUAUAAGACUGGGAUAACUUCGGGAAACCGGAGCUAAUACCGGAUAAUAUUUUGAACCGCAUGGUUCAAAAGUGAAAGACGGUCUUGCUGUCACUUAUAGAUGGAUCCGCGCUGCAUUAGCUAGUUGGUAAGGUAACGGCUUACCAAGGCAACGAUACGUAGCCGACCUGAGAGGGUGAUCGGCCACACUGGAACUGAGACACGGUCCAGACUCCUACGGGAGGCAGCAGUAGGGAAUCUUCCGCAAUGGGCGAAAGCCUGACGGAGCAACGCCGCGUGAGUGAUGAAGGUCUUCGGAUCGUAAAACUCUGUUAUUAGGGAAGAACAUAUGUGUAAGUAACUGUGCACAUCUUGACGGUACCUAAUCAGAAAGCCACGGCUAACUACGUGCCAGCAGCCGCGGUAAUACGUAGGUGGCAAGCGUUAUCCGGAAUUAUUGGGCGUAAAGCGCGCGUAGGCGGUUUUUUAAGUCUGAUGUGAAAGCCCACGGCUCAACCGUGGAGGGUCAUUGGAAACUGGAAAACUUGAGUGCAGAAGAGGAAAGUGGAAUUCCAUGUGUAGCGGUGAAAUGCGCAGAGAUAUGGAGGAACACCAGUGGCGAAGGCGACUUUCUGGUCUGUAACUGACGCUGAUGUGCGAAAGCGUGGGGAUCAAACAGGAUUAGAUACCCUGGUAGUCCACGCCGUAAACGAUGAGUGCUAAGUGUUAGGGGGUUUCCGCCCCUUAGUGCUGCAGCUAACGCAUUAAGCACUCCGCCUGGGGAGUACGACCGCAAGGUUGAAACUCAAAGGAAUUGACGGGGACCCGCACAAGCGGUGGAGCAUGUGGUUUAAUUCGAAGCAACGCGAAGAACCUUACCAAAUCUUGACAUCCUUUGACAACUCUAGAGAUAGAGCCUUCCCCUUCGGGGGACAAAGUGAUU